GCACUGCUGAAGAGUCCCAAACUAGGACGAAACAGUUGUCCAGUAC
rfam:Trichobilharzia regenti genome assembly, scaffold: TRE_scaffold0017540